rnacentral:misc_RNA from 1 species
UUAAGUUCAGCGGGUAUUCCUACCUGAUCCGAGGUCAAACCUAUAAAAGUUGGGGUUUUACGGCAGGGGACAGCACAACCACAGAGACGAGAUAGAAUUACUACGCCUAGAGUAUGUACUGACUCCGCCACUAACUUUGAGGAGCUACAGCGGGGCUGUGGGCUCCCAGCACCAAGCAACAGGGCUUGAGGGGUUGAAAUGACGCUCGAACAGGCAUGCCCACUAGAAUACUAAUGGGCGCAAUGUGCGUUCAAAGAUUCGAUGAUUCACUGAAUUCUGCAAUUCACAUUACUUAUCGCAUUUCGCUGCGUUCUUCAUCGAUGCCAGAACCAAGAGAUCCGUUGUUGAAAGUUUUAACUUAUUAAGUUUACGAUUCAGAAGAACUGCUAAAACAGAGUUUCGUGGGCCGCCGGCGGGCGGGCCUACCCUGACCACCGGGUAGCGCCUACAGGGUAAGCGCUUCGGGGUGGCAGGGCCGGACCGCGCCGCCGAGGCAACGAUAGGUAUGUUCACAUAGGGUUGGGAGUUGUAAUAACUCUAUAAUGAUCCCU